CUACGGGGGGCAGCAGUGGGGAAUAUUGCACAAUGGAGGAAACUCUGAUGCAGCAACGCCGCGUGGAGGAUGACACUUUUCGGAGCGUAAACUCCUUUUAUAUAGGAAGAAGAUGACGGUACUAUAUGAAUAAGCGCCGGCUAACUCCGUGCCAGCAGCCGCGGUAAUACGGAGGGCGCAAGCGUUACUCGGAAUCACUGGGCGUACAGAGCGUGUAGGCGGAUUAAAAAGUCAGAAGUGAAAUCCUAUAGCUUAGCUAUAGAACUGCUUCUGAAACUCUUAAUCUAGAAUAUGGGAGAGGUAGAUGGAAUUUCUGGUGUAGGGGUAAAAUCCGUAGAGAUCAGAAGGAAUACCGAUUGCGAAGGCGAUCUACUAGAACAUUAUUGACGCUGAGACGCGAAAGCGUGGGGAGCAAACAGGAUUAGAUACCCCUGUAGUC
rnacentral:rRNA from 1 species